UACGUAGGAGACGAGCGUUGUCCGGAAUUAUUGGGCGUAAAGAGCUCGUAGGCGGUCUGUCGCGUCGGCUGUGAAAACCCGGAGCUCAACUCCGGGCCUGCAGUCGAUACGGGCAGACUGGAGUUCGGCAGGGGAGACUGGAAUUCCUGGUGUAGCGGUGAAAUGCGCAGAUAUCUGGAGGAACACCGGUGGCGAAGGCGGCAUCCUGGACCGGCAUUGACGCUGAGUGAGCGAAAGCCAGGGGAGCAAACGGG
rnacentral:rRNA from 1 species